rnacentral:rRNA from 1 species
GGUAUGGGAUGGGCCCGCGUCUGAUUAGGCAGUUGGCGGGGUAACGGCCCACCAAACCGACGAUCAGUAGCCGGCCUGAGAGGGCAACCGGCCACAUUGGGACUGAGACACGGCCCAAACUCCUACGGGAGGCAGCAGUGGGGAAUAUUGCACAAUGGGGGGAACCCUGAUGCAGCGACGCCGCGUGGGUGAAGGAGUAUUUCGGUAUGUAAAGCCCUAUCAGCAGGGAAGAACAAUGACGGUACCUGACUAAGAAGCACCGGCUAAAUACGUGCCAGCAGCCGCGGUAAUACGUAUGGUGCAAGCGUUAUCCGGAUUUACUGGGUGUAAAGGGAGCGCAGGCGGCGCGUUAAGCCUGGUGUGAAAGCCCGCGGCCCAACCGCGGGACUGCAUUGGGAACUGGCGCGCUGGAGUGCCGGAGGGGUAGGCGGAAUUCCUAGUGUAGCGGUGAAAUGCGUAGAUAUUAGGAGGAACACCAGUGGCGAAGGCGGCCUACUGGACGGUGACUGACGCUGAGGCUCGAAAGCGUGGGGAGCAAACAGGAUUAGAUACCCUGGUAGUCCACGCCGUAAACGGUGAAUACUAGGUGUCGGGCCCCAUUGGGGGCCG